CCUACGGGAGGCUGCAGUGAGGAAUAUUGGUCAAUGGACGAGAGUCUGAACCAGCCAAGUCGCGUGAAGGAUGACUGCCCUAUGGGUUGUAAACUUCUUUUAUAUGGGAAUAAAACGUUCCACGUGUGGGAUUUUGUAUGUACCAUAUGAAUAAGGAUCGGCUAACUCCGUGCCAGCAGCCGCGGUAAUACGGAGGAUCCGGGCGUUAUCCGGAUUUAUUGGGUUUAAAGGGAGCGUAGGUGGGUUGUUAAGUCAGUUGUGAAAGUUUGCGGCUCAACCGUAGAAUUGCAGUUGAAACUGGCAGUCUUGAGUACAGGAGAGGUGGGCGGAAUUCGUGGUGUAGCGGUGAAAUGCUUAGAUAUCACGAAGAACUCCGAUUGCGAAGGCAGUUCACUGGACUGCAACUGACACUGAGGCUCGAAAGUGUGGGUAUCAAACAGGAUUAGAUACCCUUGUAGUC
rnacentral:rRNA from 1 species